UUGCAGGUGAAUGAUGUAGAGAUCUGUUAAAUUCAUUUUAAGUCAUAUUCUGUUAAUGACAUUGUGCUGCAGCCUCAGACUGGGAUUAGUCAUUUUAAUUUCUUUUAGGAUUUCCCAGUGUGAUUGGCUGCAUAGAUGCACACACAUCCCCAUCACAGCUCCCUCACAUCAUGAACAGGAAGUCCAUUCACAGCAUAAAUGUGCAGAUCAUCUGUGAUGCUGCAUACAUCAUUUCUAAUGUGGAGGCCAAGUGGUCUGGGUCUGUUCAUGACUCCAGGAUUUAUGGAGAGUCUAACCUGAGCAACAGACUGCAGCGUGGAGAGUUUGAUGGCCUUCUGCUGGGUGACAGGGGUUACCAUGACAACCCAGGCUGAUGACCUCAUACCCUGACCCUGAACCAGGCCCCCAACAGAACUUCAACCGGACUCACUGCAGGACCAGAGCCCGGGUGGAGAUGACCAUAGGCCUGCUGAAAGCCCGUUUCCAGAGCCUACGUCUCCUCAGGGUGACCCCUGAGAGGGCCUGUGAUAUUACUGUGGCAUGUGUUGUUCUUCAUAAUAUUACCACUAUUAGAGGAGAGCAACACCCUGCCCUACAAACUGAAGACCCAGAUGAUGAGCCCAUCCACCUGCAGCUAUCCAGGACAGCAGAGCAGUCGGAGACACCGUAUGCAAUAAUCACUUUAC